AACGAACGCUGGCGGCAUGCCUAACACAUGCAAGUCGAACGAAGGCUUCGGCCUUAGUGGCGCACGGGUGCGUAACGCGUGGGAAUCUGCCCUUUGGUUCGGAAUAACAGCUGGAAACGGCUGCUAAUACCGGAUGAUGACGAAAGUCCAAAGAUUUAUCGCCAGAGGAUGAGCCCGCGUUGGAUUAGGUAGUUGGUGGGGUAAAGGCCUACCAAGCCGACGAUCCAUAGCUGGUCUGAGAGGAUGAUCAGCCACACUGGGACUGAGACACGGCCCAGACUGCUACGGGCGGCAGCAGUGGGGAAUAUUGGACAAUGGGCGCAAGCCUGAUCCAGCAAUGCCGCGUGAGUGAUGAAGGCGCUAGGGUUGUAAAGCUCUUUUACCCGGGAAGAUAAUGACUGUACCGGGAGAAUAAGCCCCGGCUAACUACGUG
rnacentral:rRNA from 1 species